rnacentral:lncRNA from 1 species
GUUCCUCUUUCAAUCCUUACUUUUUAGGUCUCAAUUUGCUGUUAUGACAUGGUUUUGACUUGGUGAACUUGCAAGUACUAAGAUAUUAUUAACAUGAUACAUUAGUUUAGGAUGGCUGAUGUUGUGCUUGUUGUAUUGUGCUAUACUUCUAUUGUUUCUUUUUCCAUGGUUACAACCUCAAAUUUUAAGAUGUACGAACCCUCUGUUCACAUUCUUAUGCUUUGAUAUUUUCAUUAAUACAUGCCUGUUGCUAUGGUUUUCCAACUUUUUCCCUUUAUACUUCACUCAGUCUAAGAAAAUGCAAGCAUAUAUAGCCUUAAGGGUAAAAUUUAGUUGUUCCAACUGAUUAUUAGCCAUCCCUAUAUUUCUAUUCUCUAUUAUUGUUUAAGAGAUUUUUGUAUGCAUUUUGGUGCUUGACCUUGUGGAGAAGAGUGAUAAAUUUUCUUGGAGAUACGAUGAGUUCUUAUAUAUUAUUCAUAAAAAGGUUGAAUUGGAGAGUGGAAAUGAAAUCCUUACUCAAAAUGAACUGAAGCAACUAUUUCACAUUGUGAAUAGAACUGCUAGUUUAGGUAUUAUCAAAUAUAAGAGGAAACUGUGCUUGGUUUUGCAUAAGAAAAUGGUAAAACUUGGGGAAGUCCUUUAGAUCUGCUGUUCUUGUGAGUGGCCAAGUAGGUGCAUUAUAAGAAAUGUGUUUCUUUGUGGCUAGCAAGUCCUUGAAGAAUCCUAAAUUAAUUGCAGAAUGAUAGGAUCAGUUAGAAAAUCAUCAUUCUUGGAUGAUUCAUUACUUGUUUUGGACUUAGUCUCUUACUGCAGAAAGGGCAUAUGUUGGUCUUUGAUCAAUAAGCAUUUGCUUGGAGAAUAUCCAUUUUGUUGAAACAUGUUAUGGGGUUUAUCUUAGAAGGAAAGUGAUGUUUCAACGUGUUCAUGGUAUGCUCCUUGCAACUUCUGUAAUGCCCUCUUUGGAUAGGGUGAUUUGGACGUAAGGAUUUGGAUUUGGACUUUCCAAAUACAAAUAACUCCGAUUGACAAACCUUUUUAAUUGAGAAUUUGGAUUUGAGUAAAUCACCCCUCAGAUUUGGUAAACAAUUGUGCCACCUAGUUAUUUCACAUCUCAGCUUCUUCUCUUUCCCGAACAGAGAAGCUCGGUCUCGUUCCACAUCUUCUCUCAAUGCAUUGCACAGCUUCGGCAAACAUCUCUGCACCGAUUCGUGAAGGAGGUCUCUCACUCUUCUCACAAUUAAAUCAGUGGGUAACCGGAUUAUCCGGAAGAGGAUCCAUGGGCAUGUAGAGCACGGGCAGCCAUCAAGGUGC